ACCGUGAGGGAAUGGUGAAAAGUACCCCGGGAGGGGAGUGAAAUAGUACCUGAAACCGUGUGCCUGUAAGCCGUCAGAGCCUUGUGGGGUGAUGGCGUGCCUUUUGAAGAAUGAGCCUGCGAGUUAGUGAUACGUGGCGUGCUUAACCCGUGUGGGGUAUGCGUAGCGAAAGCGAGUCUGAAAGAUGGCGUUUGUCGCGUGUUCUAGACCCGAAGCGGGGUGAUCUACCCAUGGUCAGGUUGAAGCAGAGGUAAGACUGUGUGGAGGACCGAACCCACCAGGGUUGAAAACCUGGGGGAUGAGCUGUGGGUAGGGGUGAAAGGCCAAUCAAACUCCGUGAUAGCUGGUUCUCCCCGAAAUGCAUUUAGGUGCAGCGUUGCGUGGUCCCUGGUGGAGGUAGAGCUACUGGAUGGCCGAUGGGCCCUGUGGGUUACUGACGUCAGCCAAACUCCGAAUGCCAUUAGGUGUAGCGUGGCAGUGAGACUGCGGGGGAUAAGCUUCGUAGUCGAGAGGGAAACAGCCCAGAUCAUCAGCUAAGGCCCCUAAGCGUACGCUAAGUGGGAAAGGAUGUGGAGUCGCGGUGACAACCAGGAGGUUGGCUUAGAAGCAGCCAUCCUUGAAAGAGUGCGUAAUAGCUCACUGGUCAAGUGGUUCUGCGCCGACAAUGUAGCGGGGCUCAAGCGUACCGCCGAAGCUGUGGCAACAACGCGUUUGUGCUGGCGCCAGGAACUGGAGUGCUGGUGUGUUGUUGGGUAGGGGAGCGUCCUGCACGAGGUGAAGCCUGGAGGUGACUUCUGGUGGAUUGUGUGGGAGUGAGAAUGCAGGCAUGAGUAACGAAUCUGCGGUGAGAAUCCGCAGCGCCGAUUGACUAAGGGUUCCAGGGCUAGGUUUAUCCGCCCUGGGUUAGUCGGGUCCUAAGGCGAGGCCGACAGGCGUAGUCGAUGGACAACCAGUUGAUAUUCUGGUACCGCGUUGUGACCGCCCAUGCUGAAGUCAUUGUGCUAACCAAUUUGCUCACCGCCUGCUGGGCCUUCGGGUUUGGUGGUGUGUGUGGGUCUUGGGGUCCCGGUGAUUGUAGGCAAGCGUGUUAACAGGGGUGACGCAGACAGGUAGCUGCAGUGCGCCGAUGGUUGUGCGUAUUUAAGGUUGUGGCCCGUCCCUCAGGUAAAUCCGGGGGACACUGUGGGUGAGAACUGAUGAGGGUGACACGGUUGUGUUGUCUUGUGGUGAUCCUAUGCUGCCAAGAAAAGCCUCGACGUGAGGGCAUGACGCGCCCGUACCCUAAACCGACUCAGGUGGUCAGGUAGAGUAUACCGAGGCGUUCGAGUGAAUCGUGGUUAAGGAACUCGGCAAAAUUCCUCCGUAACUUCGGGAUAAGGAGGACCCCGUGACUUCCCAAUGCUUUGCGUGUUGGUGGGGUUGUGGGGUCGCAGAGAAUAGGGAGAAGCGACUGUUUAUCAAAAACACAGGUGCGUGCGAAGCCGUAAGGCGAUGUAUACGCACUGACGCCUGCCCGGUGCUGGAAGGUUAAGAGGAACCGUCAACACUCCUUUGUGGGUGUGAAGCGGUGAAUUUAAGCCCCAGUAAACGGCGGUGGUAACUAUAACCAUCCUAAGGUAGCGAAAUUCCUUGUCGGGUAAGUUCCGACCUGCACGAAUGGCGUAACGACUUCUCCGCUGUCUCAACCGUGAACUCGGUGAAAUUGCAGUACGAGUAAAGAUGCUCGUUUCGCGCAGAAGGACGGAAAGACCCCGGGACCUUUACUAUAGCUUGGUAUUGGUGUUCGCUUGGACUUGUGUAGGAUAGGUGGGAGACUGUGAAGCUGCCGCGCCAGCGGUGGUGGAGUCGUCGUUGAAAUACCAUUCUGGUUCAAGCGGUCACCUUAACCUUGGCCCGUGAUCCGGGUUGGGGACAGUGCCUGGUGGGUAGUUUAACUGGGGCGGUUGCCUCCUAAAAUGUAACGGAGGCGCUCAAAGGUUCCCUCAGCCUGGUUGGUAAUCAGGUGGCGAGUGCAAGUGUACAAGGGAGCUUGACUGUGAGACCGACGGGUCGAGCAGGUGCGAAAGCAGGAACUAGUGAUCCGGCCAUGGCACGUGGGUGCGUGGUCGCUCAACGGAUAAAAGGUACCCCGGGGAUAACAGGCUGAUCUUGCCCAAGAGUCCAUAUCGACGGCAUGGUUUGGCACCUCGAUGUCGGCUCGUCGCAUCCUGGGGCUGGAGCAGGUCCCAAGGGUUGGGCUGUUCGCCCAUUAAAGCGGUACGCGAGCUGGGUU
rnacentral:rRNA from 1 species